rnacentral:tRNA from 1 species
UAGGAUAUGGUGUAUGUGGUAGCACUUGGAGUUUUGAUCUCUUUAGGGCAGGUUCAAGCCCUGUUGUCCUAG